rnacentral:rRNA from 1 species
AUCUGGUUGAUCCUGCCAGUAGUCAUAUGCUCAUUUCGAAGACUAAGCCAUGCAAGUCUAAGUAUAAGUUGUAUACAACGAAACUGCGAACAGCUCAUUAAAACAAUCAUCGUUUAUGUGGGUAAUUUUUACACGGAUACCUGUGUUAAUUCUGGAGCUAAUACGUGACUGAACAUCCAUUUGGAUGACACUUAUUUGGUAAGAACCAAACUGUGCAAACAGACUCUGGUGAUCCAUAAUAAGGUCGUGAAUCGCAUGGUGAAUGCCGGCGAUGUCCCCCUAAGUUUUUGACUUAUCAGCUAGACGGUANGGUAUUGUCCUAUCGUGGCAUUGUCCUAUUCGUGGCAUUGAGGAGUAACGGGAAUUAGGGUUUGAUUCCGGAGAGGGAGCCUGAGAAACAGCUACCAUUCCACGGAAGGCAGCAGGCGCGCAAAUUGUCCAAUCCCAAUACAUUGGGGAGACAGUGAAAAGAAGUAUCAAUGCAGGGCUUUUAGCUUUGCAAUUGGAAUGAGUUUAACCCAAAUGCCUUUACAAGUAUCAAUUGGAGGGCAAGUCUGGUGCCAGCAGCCGCGGUAAUUCCAGCUCCAAUAGCGUAUAUUAAAGUUGUUGCAGUUAAAACGCUCGUAGUCGAAACUUUGGUAAUAAUAAUGGGUUAUCUUUCGAGUAUGUACCUGUUGUUAUUACCAUUAUUCCGUGUAUGCAAGAGUUCGCUCUUGUAUUAUCGGAACUGUUACUUUGAGAAAAUUAGAGUGUUUCAAGCAGGCGCGAUGCUUUGAAUACUAUCCAUCACACU